rnacentral:tRNA from 1 species
AGGAUAAUAAUUUAAAAAAAAUAAACAAUUUGCACUUGUAAACUAUCUAACCAGAUUUAUCUUU